AAGUAUUAGCUUCUAGAAAAACAACGGUAAUAGGUUUCCUUCCAUAUUGAAUUUAUUUACGCAAUAAUUUAAACAUGACUACUAGAAUCUCCUUGAUCGUUCUGUUUUCAAUACUUCUGGGGGUAUUAGGGGAGACCGAGCUAAAUCGAAACAAAGAUAACGCGGUCGCAGUUGGCGUGCCGACCAAGUGUCUAGUCAAGGCGGCUAAUAGUUUUGGGACCUGUCUCGUAUCUGGACAACAGCUGGACAGCUCUGGACCUGCACUUGAGAACAAACUACUCUCAUGUAUUGGAAGUUUCGCUUGUAGUUUGAUUCAUUGUUUUACGGAGUAGCGAAUUGCGGUUCACCUUCAAUUUCAAAACGACAAAGUUUUAAAAGCAUCAAUAUUUUAUAACAAUAUUUUUAAAUGUCUUAUUAAAAAGAAAAUAUAACAAA